CAAAGACAGGGAGGGAAAGUCUGGCAUUCAUCAGACGACGAGCAGGGAAGGAAGAAAGAACUAUUUGAAGAUGAGCUGCUGAGGCUCUAGGACGCAACACGUGCCGCUCCAGUGUCUACCCCGGGGCAGGAAGGCACAGGGAGGAAUGUCUGGGCGCAGAAACCGGAGGCUGGGGCACCUCGGACGGGCCUUUGGCUCCCUCGCCUGUAAAAAGAGGACCACAACACGCUGGUGGAGCCACAGGGUGACCACAAUGAGCCGGUUUUUGGAAUUCAGGUGUUUUUGGACGUAAGGCAUCGGCACCAUCGGAAUGGGGCCCCCGAGGACAAGAUUUUGCCUCAUUCACUACCGAGUCCCAAGACAGCCGGGAACCAGGAGGCCCUCUGGGAAUUGCGCCCCGAAUGAGAGAGAACCCACGAGAACACAGCAUGGUAACCUCAAUUCAAGAGCCCUACAAUUUGUUUUUCUAUUCAUAAGCCCUAGGUAAGUUAAUCAGCGUUCUCUAAUAGCUUCAUUUGUAACUAUUUUUCCCAGGGCCUACCUAGGGCUCAAGAAAAACUAGCUGCAGCCCCCCAUCAGCCCUCACCUUGACCAGGACAUCCAAGCUGCUCUGAGCCGGUGCUAGAUGAGCCGAUGGGAGGAAACUUCUCGUGGAAUCCAACAUGGAGUGGCCUGA
rnacentral:lncRNA from 1 species